GCUCCGCUGAAUCGAAUAGAAUUGGAGAAUGUCAAACUGCUGAUAGCCGCUGGGGCCGAUCCAACGCUGCCGACUUAUGAUGGCUUUUGCCCGCUCGCCAGAGCGGCAUUCUCGAAUGAGGACGAAGAGAUCUUGCGAAUUAUGGCUAAGGUGGCCAGCAAUAUCAACGUGAAACCAGGGGAGUAUACGGUUCUCCGCAGUGCUGCAGAGGCUGGAGUGUGUCGAGUUUUACUUGAGUGCGGGGCGUCGAUGGACGAUGACGAUGGAUUACCCGACUUGAGGUCUGCUUGCAAUCCAUGGUAAUCUAAGUUCUUGCUUAUUCAAUUUUGUUCUAUGCACUUGAAGUGUAAGCAGAACAAGUUAAAGAAGAACAACUGCUAGAACGGUAGCUACUGCCCCAAAAAUGGGCACUUGCAAUCCAACAGCUGCGCCCUCUUGCAAGAAAUCUGGGCUUGGAAACGGGCUGGGAUCAAAAUCCCUCCUCGCUCUUCUUCCGGGAACUACGGCUUGAUCAUCCUCGUCUUCAUUUCCACGCCCACGAACUCUGCCUCGUAACGAGCUCUCCAGCAUCAAUGCCGGAUCGAAUGUAUCCUCUCCUUGGAUUGAGACCGCCAGCAGCAAAACCAGGAGGAAGAUCGACGCCACCAAAUUCGCACAAAUCGCCAUUCCUUUCCUUCUUUUUGCGAUCGAAGCAAUGCUAUUGCUAUCUAAUUGAUCCAACGCUUUUUAUAUAUCGCGAGGGGAGAUUUUGACCCUGUCAAGAAAGGAAAGUUCCUUGGGAGCGCAUUUGACCGUGUGUACGCGAAAUCUAAUCUCACACACCACCUCACUUUCUUGACUAGAUGAGUCCACGCGACGAUAUUCUUUUCGUGUCUCCCGGCAGAGUUUUCUACUCAUUCUUCGAAAGUGGCCUUGGAUUUGGACGCGACAAAGGAUCGCUAUAUAGGUCGAAAGAAGGGUAUUUUCAUCCCAAAAGAUCACUGGCAAUGAAGCCUUCGAUCCUUGUUUUGGCAUUGGUUUUGAUCUUGGUAGCUCUCGAGGCAUGGACAAUUCGAGCGGAGCAACAAGCCCACACUCCAGAAUCCAAUCCAGUCCAAUUGCAGCGCCGAUCUAGACCACGAGCUAGAGGCGCGGGCACUAGCGGCAGCGCUGGAUUGGAGGUGUCGGCGCUUGGGAUAAUUGGAAUUGUCACUGCCGCCAUAGCCGCGAUUGCGUAAAGAUUCUUUGUAUAUUCUUUGGCAAUGUAAAGCACUCUUUUCUCUUUUCCUUGGAAGCCCUGAUGGGUCGUGUGUUACCAGCGAGUGAAGAGCCGCCGCCAGCACAGGAGUGUGAGUUUGAUGUAGAUGAUCUUCUCCAGGUAAAAGUCUCCGGGGUUCUUGGAAUGGGUGUCUCCAGAUUUUCAAUCUCUAGGCUGCAAGGUAUGGAGAACUCGAGGAAGUCAAGCUCGUUGCUCCUCUUUUGCCGCAGAAUUCACAUAACGAGCAGGGAUGCACAGGUAGAAGAUUUCUCGCUUUGAUUUUUUCUCGCGUAUGAUCUUACUACUCUAAAGCAUUGCAUAUGGCUUCUGCCAAUGGUCACUUGAGCAUUGUCAAGUAUCUCGUCGAACGAGGAGAAGUAAGUCGCGUAGCGAAGGAGAUCUUAGAAAAUGUUUUUGAUCGCUCGUGUUCACAGAAUGUUAAUGCUUGCAAUGCCGAGAACAAUACCCCUCUUCAUUGGGCUGCUCUAAAUGGCCAAGUUCAGGCAUGUUUUUCUUCUUGCUAUUCUUUCGUGAUUCGCAAAGUGUUCUUCAUUUGGAUUUCUUGUUUUUUUUUCCCAGGUUGUGGAGGAGCUUAUUGCUUCGGGAGCUAGCGCCUCAGCUUUGAACCGGUCUGAUCAUGAACUUUAGGCUCGAAAGUGUAUCGGGUUUCAAUUGCUCUUGCUUUUCCAUUUUCCAGUUACGAUCGGACGCCGGUAGACGAGGCCCUGUCUCGGGGAAAACAAGAAGUCGUGAACGCCAUAGCAAUUCUCACAGCCGCGGCAUCCCUGGACGACACAAGUAUACAAGAAGAGAUUAACUAGUAAUUUAGUUGAAGAAGCUGGUUAGCCUCCUCACAGCCUGGGGCUUGAGGCCAUGGUGGAUAUUAGAUAAGCUCGCGUCUAUUUCCUAACAAUCGAUCGCGCCAUAGUAGAUCAAGCUUUCCCAGACCAUUCAAAUUAAAUUAUGCUUUCUACUUUACUUUCAUAGGUUCCUUAAGAAUAGAAUGUUUUUUUUAUGUAAAGUGAUAUUUAUAUUAUAAUUUUACCUAUUCAUUUAACUUAUAUUCUUUUCAAACAGAAAACCCAAACAUUUGAAAUAGAUGAUUGAAUCAUAUAUUUUUAACACUUCUAAAAAGAAUUAUAUUUUCUUCUUAGAUAGAGAUUAUAAUUUUUUAAUAAGUUAAAUGAAUUAUAAUAAUAAAGAAAAAGCUAUUAUAUGUUUAAGAGCUUAUAAUAGAUGGAAAACACUAAAAUUACAAAAAAAUGCAUACAGUUAUUUAAAGAUUUAGUAUUAUAAAACUUAUUUAUAAAAUAGAAUAAUAAGAAGGUUAAUUAUUUAAAACUUUCAUUUAUAGGUUAUAAAUUUUAUUAGAAAGAAUAAUUUAUAAUUAUUCUAACAUUACAAAAUAAUAUUGUUGAAUUAUUAUAAAUAAAAUAUAUUAUAAAUUAGCACUAUAUUCUUUAAAAAAGUAAGUUAUAGAUUUAUGAAAAUAGUUUUAAAUAUUUUUUCUUAUAUUGUGUAAGGAAAAAUAUUUAUCAUGCUUUAUUAUAAUGUUUGCUUAGUAGUCCAUUGUAAAAAUAAAAAUGAUGAUUGUAAAGAUAUAAAUGAUAAUUAUAAGUGUUAUAAUUGAGACACAACUCUAAAUAAAUAAGUUUAAGUUAUAGCAAACAUUUAUAUUCUAUACUACUUUAAAUAAUUUAUAAGGUUUAUUUAAAAGAUUUAUCUCAACCAACUUGAAUGUUUAUUAUUUUUAUAUAAAUUAAUUUAACUUUUAAAAAACUAUUAUGGCGUUUUACUUAGAUAAUUAAAUAAUAUUUGAUAGAAAAUAAAUACUUUAAACAAAUAAUGCUAAAGAAAAUAUUUAAUUUUUAUUUCCUUUGGAUAUUAACUUAUAUGAGUGCAUGGAAUACAAAAAUAUGCAUAUCAAUUAGCCUAGAAACCUUAGUUUAUAUACAAAAGGUCUAAAUUGAAACCAAUCCAACAAUUUAUAUCCCACUGUGCUAAUAUUAAUAUAUAGCAUUGUAUCUAUACACUUGGACCUUAUAUCAUUCCUUCCUCUCAAAACAAUAUAAGAUAGUUAGAGUUCUAUUGUGGAUGGGCCAGGAACAUUAUGAGGAAGCAUUAAUGGAUUUAUAAUUGGUGUUAGUUGUUCUUGAUCCCUUUGUACAAAGCAUUUCAAUUAAUAUAUUGUAAACGACUAAAUUUUCCAUUUUACUUUAAUCAUUUAACCACAUUUUUGACCAUUUAGAAUUUCUCUCACAACCUUUAUAACUCAUAUUCCCAACUUAUAGACAUAUUAACCUUAUGGCCAUGUUUAUUUACCUUUAUCUCAUUGGUAAUCCAAAACCACUCAUACCAUAGUCUUAUCUCCCAAAGAUUAAACCCUUCAUCAAUGAGUAGUUAUCUCAAGACCACACUUUAACAUCCUUAGGAUGCACAAAGAAAUGGGAAACACCCUUCAUCAAUAUCCCUUCUUUAGUCUUUAAUAAAUCCCUUUCUAUCCACAGCUGUACUCACUAACAUUGCCACUAGUUUAAGGUUUAAAGGUUUAACCAUUAAAUCUCAUUAACAUUUAGGACUUCCUUGCCGUGUAAGUGUAUCUUUAGUCACUACACAAGAGGAUUGUUCUUCUUCUUUUCCACAGUUUAAGAUUUGGGGAUAAUAUUUCAAAACAUCGUAACCCAAUGUGAGUCUUAUGGGUACUUUUUUUACCUUCUGCCUUUGGGUGCCCUAACUAUGUGGCUAGAGCGAGGUUUUAAUGAGCUAUGCCAAGUAUCCAAGUAUGUGGUGCCACUUAUAUUUAAAUUAGGAGCAUUGACCAUUUGAUUUCCUAGAGGAGCUAAAGUUGGUUCUUGAACACUUUAGUAAGUUACCUCACUUGUCCAUCUAUAUUCAUUUAACCUUAGACUCUUUAAUGGUUAUAUCAUCACCUACUACAUAGAUAUACCUUUGUUUAAUUAUAUUAACUUUUGCUACCAAAUUAGUUUUAUUGGAAUCUUUCCCUUACUAUCCUUUUGGAGUUCACCAAACCCCCCAGGGUUUGGGAGAUGAUUGCUUUGGACUUUCACCUUUGGACUUAGACUCAAACUUAAACUUAGUUCUGAUUUUGGUCUUGGUUUUAGUCUUGGUCUUAGUCCCUAUUUCGAACUCCAUCUCAGACUCUUUAUUAGACUCUAUUUUGAAUUCUUUCUCAAAUUCCAUUUUAGACUCCUUCUCAAACUCCUUGAAUUCCUUAUCGGAAUCGACACUUUUAUGUAUCAUAAUAUUUGCCAUAUGACAGUCCUUCUUGUGCCCUUUUUAGAGACUUAUUCAUUAAUUGCUUCAUGCUCAUUUGUUAAACACUUUGUUCGGAGUUUCACUUUUGUUCUCAACUUUCCAUGUCAAAGCUUUUAAUCUAAACGUGUUACAUUUGUUAAACUUUCAUUUUAACCACUAUUAUGUGCAACACUUUCAACUCCACUUUAGGGCUUAGGGAUUUAUGUUUACCAUCUUGGAGUUUAGAUCUAAAUUCAUGUGUAUUACAACAAACAAACUUAAGAGAUAACUUAUAUAAGGAAUAUAAAAUGUAAAAUAUUUUAUAUAAAAGGAAUAUAAAUUUAAAUAUAAAAGGAAAAGGCCCAUGGAUAAGAAUACCCCCUUUUAAAGUCUUGGGAUACUUAGGGUUAACUAUCUUUAAAUUUAACUAGUAUGCAUUAGCUUAAUUUAGAUUUCUUGGGAGAUACAUGUUUUUUCACACAUUUUUUCAUGUUUUUUUUCACUCUCACAUUCCCAAAGUAUAUACCUUUUUAUCUCUCUUAUGCCACAUUUGACACUUGUCUUUGGGAAAAUUGAUACAUUAACUAAUACAUGCUUUUUAUAGAUUUUGUGCACUCUUACAUUUCUAAGGUAUAUGCCUUUGUGUCUCCUUUGCUCACAUGAUUGGCUUGAGAAAUGAAUUUUGCAUUUAAACAGUAGGUACUAUUGCAUUGCUAACAACAUAAAAUAUUGUGUUUUAGUUACCUAUUGUCCUUUCCACAAUAUCCUCAAUGUGGCUGUUUGAAUAAUUUCUUGAAUAUUCAAGCACUUCAUCCUCACUACAAGUAACAAUCACUUUCCAGCCUUAGCAAUUGUCUUCUUAGCUUUGUCAUAUAUAAAAAAACUCUUCCUGCUACGCUCCUUGCCAGGUCCAUUCCACUAGAUCCCAUGCUAACUCAUGAAUCAUUUGCUAUCUAACCACAAAAGCUUUAACCUUUUAUGACUAGCAAGUCCAUCCUGGCCAUUUUCUUUUCCGCCAUUGUUCUCAUAGUGUUUCACGGCAUCAGCCAUUCUUUUUAAGAAAGCACAAGAAGGAAACAAUUAAGUAAACCAACUGUUCAAGAAGUUUAUGCAUUGAAUGAAAUUUAAGACGACCCUUUCUUACUCCUCACAUAUCUGAAGGAAACGUAGAGGAUUGCAAACAAGGCUGGAUGGACAGUUACAUUGUACAUACUGCCAAUGUUUAAAAUUGAUCUGCAUACUUCUUGAAUGAAUCUUCCCGGUCGGAUGGCGUAGGUUUUCAGCAACACCCUACAGCCGAUCUGAACCGUCGGAUUGAAAAGAGUAUCGUACGGCUAGAAACUGUUUAAAUUCAUAUGAGAAGAACACCUGCUAGAACGGUAGCUACUGCCCCAAAAAUGGGCACUUGCAAUCUAAUAGCAGCGCCCUCUUGCAAGAAAUCUGGUCUUGGAAAUGGGCUGGGAUCAAAAUCCCUCCUCGCUCUUCUUCCUGGAACUACGGCUUGAUCAUCCUCGUCUUGAUUUCCACGCCCGUGAACUCUGCCUCUUAACGAGCUCUCCAGCACCAAUGCCGGAUCGAAUCUAUCCUCUCCUUGGAUUGUGACCGCCAGUAGCAAAACUAGGAGGAAGAUCGACGCCACCAAAUUCGCACGAAUCGCCAUUCCUUCCCUUCUUUUU
rnacentral:lncRNA from 1 species